UCCAUGUGUACCCUGCCCCUACCC
rnacentral:piRNA from 1 species